CCUACGGGUGGCAGCAGUGAGGAAUAUUGGUCAAUGGACGCAAGUCUGAACCAGCCAUGCCGCGUGCAGGAAGACGGCUCUAUGAGUUGUAAACUGCUUUUGUACGAGGGUAAACGCAGAUACGUGUAUCUGUCUGAAAGUAGCGUACGAAUAAGGAUCGGCUAACGCCGUGCCAGCAGCCGCGGUAAGACGGAGGAGCCAAGCGUUAUCCGGAUUUAUUGGGUUUAAAGGGUGCGUCGGCGGUCGGAUAAGUUAGAGGUGAAAUCCCGUGGCUCACCCCCGGCAUUGCCUCUGAAACUGUUCGGCUGGCGGGUGGUUGCGGUCGGCGGAAUGUGUGGUGUAGCGGUGCCCUGCUUCGAGAUCCUGCGGACCGCCGAUUGCGACGGCAGCUUACCGCGCUGCUUCUGACGUUGAGGCACGCCAGCGUGGGUAGCGCACAGGAUUAGCUACCCCAGUAGUC
rnacentral:rRNA from 1 species